GGCCGCCUGGCAAAUGGAGCACAUUUGCACAAACAACCUCAGUGUCAGCAGUGGGCCUUGGUCACUGCGGGACAGUCUCCAAGGUUCAGCCGGCCAGCUGCCCAGGGCCUUGUCCCAAGACAGAACUUGAGUCCGAGCCUCAAAAGAGCUGUCUGGGUGGGAGGGGGCGGUGUCCUGGGGGCCCUCGGUCUGACCUUCCUGUCCUGCAAGAAGGGAGGAAAGAAAGUCGUGGGGAGCCCGGGAAAGCAGUGCUCACUGAGGAGACCCCGUCAUCCUCUGGGCUCAGACCUGGCCCCAGCUCCUCCAGAAAGCUCCACUGGCCGCCUUCCUCGCUUCCGGGGACCCCUGCUCUCACCCUCAUCAUAUCAUAGCAGCUCAUAUCACGUUCUGCUGAACGUCUCCACUGGACCGUUUCCUCCACUGGACUGUGCUCCGGGUGGUUGAGGCCGAGUCUUGUGUACCUUGGCGUCCCCAGGGCUCAGGACGUGUGCCCAAGACCUCGGCUCCUGUAUCUUUGUUCUCCAGCAUCUGUUGCUGCUCGACACAGAGGAGGAGUGCUGGCGUGUUACUUACUGAGCGCUUACCAUAUGUCGUGCCUCUGGGUUUCAUCUGGAAGUGGGAAGAAGUCUGACAUGCCGACCCUGACUCAGAGUGUGGUCAGGGUCAGACACGACGGUGCUACGUCAUCAGUGGGUCUCCUUGGUGGAAGCUGGGUGCACUCCGAAGAGCAAAGGUUUUGGAGAUACACAGUGGGUUUGUGUCCCGAUCCUUCUCUGUGUGGCCUCAAGCAAAUUGCUUGACCCCUCUCUCCAAACCUAGACUCCAAACCCAGAUUUGCUCAUCCUACCUGGUAGGAUUGUUGCCAGCCCAUGCUUAUGAAAUGCAAGGCCCAGGCCUGGAUGUGACUGACAGAUACCGAGGUGGGCCUCAGCUUGUAAGGCUGGCAGAGCCUCUUAAUUUUCCAUCCCUGCCUUUCAAUGCGACGCAAGCUUCCUGCAGUGAGGGCCACAAACCAGGGAAGAGCUGGAGUCGGCGAAUCCAGCGCAUCUGGAUUCAGGUUCGGCCUCGUCCACGCCCCCGCUGCUCGGUUUCAGACAAGCCCCUGGGCCUGUCUGAACUCCAAGUCCCACCUCUACCUCCAAGGCCCCCUUGCUGUUUCUCAAACACAGCUGUUACGCCUGCACCCAAGCUGCGAGAGAGGCUGCGAAAGUGAGUUUUCUUGUGUCUGCCGUGGGGAGGCGUGGGCUCCCCAGGUUGACGCUCUGCACACAAAUCUGCCCUGAGACACGGUGCAGGGGGAAGGGGGUCUGGAAAGGCAGACGGAAGACAUGGGUGUCUCACCCCAUCCGGAAGAGGAGUUCCGUCCCAUGCUGUUUACAUGGGACUCUAUGCAACAUAUUUAUUCAUUUAUUUUCCACUCUGUUCUCUCAACGCUGCUAUUGUCAGUUUCAUGAGGGGAACUUCUGUGUCCUCAG
ensembl:lncRNA